UUUAGUUUUGUAGCAAUACAAGGUUAAGCUAGUGGCGAACGGGUGCGUAACACGUGAGCAAUCUGCCUUAAAGUGGGGGAUAGCUCGCCGAAAGGCGAAUUAAUACCGCAUGUGGUUGUAAAACCAAAGCCGGGGCAACCUGGCGCUUUUAGAGGAGCUCGCGGCCUAUCAGCUUGUUGGUGAGGUAACGGCUCACCAAGGCUUCGACGGGUAGCUGGUCUGAGAGGACGACCAGCCACACUGGAACUGAGACACGGUCCAGACACCUACGGGUGGCAGCAGUCGAGAAUUUUUCUCAAUGGGGGAAACCCUGAAGGAGCGACGCCGCGUGGAGGAUGAAUGCUUUCGGG
rnacentral:rRNA from 1 species